UAUUAAAAAUUCCAUCUAUUUAUUCUGUUAAAACUAACGUGGCUGACAGAAUAACCAGUGACAUAUGACAUGCCAUGUGCACCUCAUAUUGACGUACAAGGUCCAAUUUUUAACAGCAAAAAUGGAUGGAAUUUUUAACA
rfam:Gossypium hirsutum cultivar TM-1 chromosome 9, whole genome shotgun sequence